UACGUAGGUCACAAACGUUGUCCUGAUUUAUUGGGUUUAAAGGGUCCGUAGGCGGAUCUGUAAGUCAGUGGUUAAAUCUCAUAGCUUAACUAUGAAACUGCCAUUGAUACUGCAGGUCUUGAGUAAGGUAGAAGUAGCUGGAAUAAGUAGUGUAGCGGUGAAAUGCAUAGAUAUUACUUAGAACACCAAUUGCGAAGGCAGGUUACUAUGUCUUAACUGACGCUGAUGGACGAAAGCGUGGGGAGCGAACAGGAUUAGAUACCCCUGUAGUCC
rnacentral:rRNA from 1 species